rnacentral:pre_miRNA from 1 species
ACCCAUCAUCAAAUCACAUUGGAGAUAAGUGAGUUGGAAAUAAAUUAAAAAAUAAAAUAUAGAAAUUCUAACUCACUUAUCUUCAAAGUGACUGGAUGAUGAGU